rnacentral:rRNA from 1 species
UACGGAGGGAGCUAGCGUUGUUCGGAAUUACUGGGCGUAAAGCGCACGUAGGCGGCUUUGUAAGUUAGGGGUGAAAGCCUGGAGCUCAACUUCAGAAUUGCCCUUAAGACUGCAUCGCUUGAAUCCAGGAGAGGUGAGUGGAAUUCCGAGUGUAGAGGUGAAAUUCGUAGAUAUUCGGAAGAACACCAGUGGCGAAGGCGGCUCACUGGACUGGUAUUGACGCUGAGGUGCGAAAGCGUGGGGAGCAACAGG